UUAAUUUGACCCAUUCAUAAAUGGUUGAACCGAAGUACACAAUCUGCACCUGCAAGCAUAACUUAUUUUCUUCGUCACAUCUCUACAAUGGCUGAUGAGGAACCCGUUGAUCAGAAGAAAUACCUUGAAGAGUCAUGCAAACCAAAAUGUGUAAAACCAUUACUUGAAUAUCAGGCAUGUGUUAAAAGGAUCCAAGGCGAUGAAUCUGGUCACAAACAUUGCACUGGACAGUAUUUUGAUUAUUGGUCUUGUGUUGACAAAUGUGUUGCGCCAAGGCUACUCCCCAAACUGAAGUGAUGGUGGGAUAAUUUUAUGGUAUAUUAUCAUUAUGUUUGUUCUAUUUUCAGUCCCAAAAUACUGCUCCCAAACGUUUGAUUUUGUAAUCAAACCUUAUGUUCUUUACUGUGAAAUGUUUGGGCCCUUGAUGGCCUCUGGUUCUGAUUAAUAAGAUGUUUAUGCCAGAUUGUAACUUUGAGAUUUAGAAGAUGUAUUCUGGCAUGGAUCCAACAUUUUUAAUGUCUUUGAGUUUGGAAUAUUAAGAUGUUUAUUUUUAUCAUUUUGAAGAUGCUUUUUUAUGAAUAUAUUAAUUCUAUUGAAGA